AAAAAAAAGUGUAUCAUUGUUAGUCUUUCUUAAGAAAAUAGAUUGAGUUUAACUCUCUCUCAAAAUCUAACUCAAAGGAGAAAGUUUGCUCAAAUCUCAUAUAGUAAAAAUACCUUAUAUCAAAUUAAUGUGAACAACAGUCUUUAAUGUUAUUUUUUUUUUUUUCCAUAAGCUCCUAGUUGAUCAUUAUUAAUGUCAUAACUAUUCUUAUCACCAAAGUUUUAAUAGCAUGAAAGUAUAAGUCUUGCCUUGAAAUAGAAAAGUGUGGGCCCUAAAUGUGUGAUAUUUAAAUGUACUUUCUCCUAAUUUUAAUUGUGAAUUUAAAUACAUAAUAAUUUUUAUUAAAUAACACAUCUAUUACCCUCUUUAUAUAGGGGAAUUAUCCCAUGAUCGAAGUGUACCAAGUCACAAGCAUUACAUGGUACACCCAAGUUGAGUGUAUGUAUUAUCUCUUUAGUAGGCUUUGAUGUGUUUUUCUCCUUCAAUGGAGUUAUUCCUCCUUUGUUGAGGAGCUUUAUUUGUGUUUCUUGGUGAGUUAGUUUGUUUUUUGAGAAAAGUUCACUUGCUGUAAAUCUUUUUCCUUUUUUACACUAUGAAAUUUGAAUUUAGAGAUUAUCUGAUAAGCUUAUAAAAAUAUCAUUGAGUCAUAGAAUAGAGCAUGCAAUACGAUUAUUGAUCAAUCUAUACACACUAUUAAUAUUAUUGGAUCUUCCAAAUCCUUUACAUUAUUUUUUCUUUAA
rnacentral:misc_RNA from 1 species